rnacentral:rRNA from 1 species
AUGUAUUUGCAUGACCCCUGCGGAUUUCACCCUACUACACCCGGAGCCAAUCCCCUAGCGGUCCUGCCACCACACUGCAGAACAGGAGCUCAUGUGGAACCUUGGAUUUCUGGCGUAACAGCGGUGGAAGGUAUCAAAAUAUUACGUCUGCAUAACCAGAACAUAGUAUAUAUUCUAAGGUCGGCCAAAAUAUGGACACCCGAAGGGCCCGGCGCGCAUAAUUCUAUCCUAUCCGAGCCCGUCAUUGCAUGCACUUCGGACAACCGUCCGUAG